UGCGCGAUGGUGUAAGCGGAUAACACCCGGUCUUGCGAAGGCUGUGAUGCAGGUUCGAUUCCCGCUCGUGCAA
rnacentral:tRNA from 1 species